UUCCCCCAGUAGCGGCGAGCGAACGGGGAGGAGCCCAGAGCCUGAAUCAGCAUGUGUGUUAGUGGAAGCGUCUGGAAAGGCGCGCGAUACAGGGUGACAGCCCCGUACACAAAAGCGCAUGUGCUGUGAGCUCGAUGAGUAGGGCGGGACACGUGAUAUCCUGUCUGAAUAUGGGGGGACCAUCCUCCAAGGCUAAAUACUCCUGACUGACCGAUAGUGAACCAGUACCGUGAGGGAAAGGCGAAAAGAACCCCGGCGAGGGGAGUGAAAAAGAACCUGAAACCGUGUACGUACAAGCAGUGGGAGCACCCUUUUGGGUGUGACUGCGUACCUUUUGUAUAAUGGGUCAGCGACUUAUAUUCUGUAGCAAGGUUAACCGAAUAGGGGAGCCGGAGGGAAACCGAGUCUUAACCGGGCGUUAAGUUGCAGGGUAUAGACCCGAAACCCGGUGAUCUAGCCAUGGGCAGGUUGAAGGUUGGGUAACACUAACUGGAGGACCGAACCGACUAAUGUUGAAAAAUUAGCGGAUGACCUGUGGCUGGGGGUGAAAGGCCAAUCAAACCGGGAGAUAGCUGGUUCUCCCCGAAAGCUAUUUAGGUAGCGCCUCGUGAAUUCAUCUCCGGGGGUAGAGCACUGUUUCGGCUAGGGGGCCAUCCCGGCUUACCAACCCGAUGCAAACUGCGAAUACCGGAGAAUGUUAUCACGGGAGACACACGGCGGGUGCUAACGUCCGUCGUGAAGAGGGAAACAACCCAGACCGCCAGCUAAGGUCCCAAAGUCAUGGUUAAGUGGGAAACGAUGUGGGAAGGCCCAGACAGCCAGGAUGUUGGCUUAGAAGCAGCCAUCAUUUAAAGAAAGCGUAAUAGCUCACUGGUCGAGUCGGCCUGCGCG
rnacentral:rRNA from 1 species